rnacentral:rRNA from 1 species
UACGGAGGGUGCAAGCGUUAUCCGGAUUCACUGGGUUUAAAGGGUGCGUAGGUGGGAAGGUAAGUCAGUGGUGAAAUCCCCGAGCUUAACUUGGGAACUGCCAUUGAUACUAUCUUUCUUGAAUACCUUGGAGGUGAGCGGAAUAUGUCAUGUAGCGGUGAAAUGCUUAGAUAUGACAUAGAACACCAAUUGCGAAGGCAGCUCACUACACGGUCAUUGGCACUGAGGCACGAAAGCGUGGGGAUCAAACAGG